rnacentral:siRNA from 1 species
UCGCUGCCGUGAUCGUGGUCUGCA